ACUCCUACGGGAGGCAGCAGUGGGGAAUAUUGCACAAUGGGCGCAAGCCUGAUGCAGCCAUGCCGCGUGUAUGAAGAAGGCCUUCGGGUUGUAAAGUACUUUCAGCGGGGAGGAAGGCAAUACGGUUAAUAACCGUGUUGAUUGACGUUACCCGCAGAAGAAGCACCGGCUAACUCCGUGCCAGCAGCCGCGGUAAUACGGAGGGUGCAAGCGUUAAUCGGAAUUACCGGGCGUAAAGCGCACGCAGGCGGUCUGUCAAGUCGGAUGUGAAAUCCCCGGGCUCAACCUGGGAACUGCAUUCGAAACUGGCAGGCUUGAGUCUUGUAGAGGGGGGUAGAAUUCCAGGUGUAGCGGUGAAAUGCGUAGAGAUCUGGAGGAAUACCGGUGGCGAAGGCGGCCCCCUGGACAAAGACUGACGCUCAGGUGCGAAAGCGUGGGGAGCAAACAGGAUUAGAAACCCGUGUAGUCCCAUG
rnacentral:rRNA from 1 species